ensembl:processed_transcript
CGUGAAAGCUGUCCGUCUCCUGCGGCUCUUUCCCGCAGAGCCGCCCGGCGGUAACGCGUCCUGUGAGCCGCCUUUCAGUUUGCCUUUCUGGGACGCAGAGGCGCAGGUGUUUCCGUCGGAGAAGCUUUCGUUCUCGCUGUCGGCCGAGCUGUCCUCCCGGUCACUGCACGCGGCCUCCGCUGCUUUCAGGUCCAGUUUCUCGUCAUCUGAACUGUAGAGUUUGGUUUCGCCUGAGAAGAAUGAAAAAGGCCGAUGGCAUCGGAGUCGUGAGGGCGGAGAGGCAGAUGUUUCGGCCCUCUUGUGAGAGAGAGUCUUUUCUAUUCUGCGGGGAGAAAGAGUGAAUCUGGCCGACAAUUAUCCCCAAGAGAGAAAUUUUACUGAUGAAAUGACGUUUGAAUGCGGAGAUCUGUGUGAACUCCGCUUAUAAAAUAGGGGAGAAUUAAGAUUUGGAUAUAAAUAUCUGAUUAUAUUUAGAUGGAUUCGAGAUGAUAAUAAAAACAAAAAAAGAAAA